AUGCAAUUCUCCAGGCCUCAUUUUCCACGUCUACAAAGUGGAGGUCAGAAAAAAAAGGGUGGGGGGGGCGCUUCAAAGAGUCCGCUUGCAAGAAGCAGAGGAGUUACUAUCAAGUCAAGGGACACGUGCCCGCCGUGGCUGCCUGCCGGGCGGGGUGGGCCUGCCCCCGGGGAUGUCCUCGUCCUGUGCACGGGGACGCGCGGGCGGAGUCCUUGCAGCAGCACCUGGGCCCACCUGCUGCGGUGCCCCUGGGGGUCAGCCGUCGGGGACCGCCGGCUCGGGCCGCCCAGGGGCCCCCACGUGCAGGGCCGCCCUCCUCCUGCUCCUGCUCCUGCUCCUGCUCCUGCUCCUGCUCCUGCUCCUCCCCGCGCUGCAGCAGCUGCCGUCGCCUCGGAAGCAGCCCGGGGCCGCCGCUGGACACGCCUGGAGGUGCUGCCGCCGGCCUCAGGAGCCCGGGGCCCUGGUCUGCAGGCGUGCUUCUCAGGCACCGGCGCUUCCUGCUCUUGCUCGUCGGGUCCGGAACCCCGGGGGCGGGGGGACCAGGCAGCGCGCGUCCCCUCCUCCCAGGCAGCCGCAGGUGGGCGGAGAAGCGGGGCUGCCCCCCCACCCCGGCCCGCACAGGCCUCACCUGCGGGCGCACCUGGGGCGCGGCCAGGACAUGCCUCAGAUCAUCACUGCAAAUUACAAGUGGAGUGGCUGGGACAGUGCUCAACCCAUCAUGACCUCAAACCCCCAAAUCUGAAAAACUCAGGAUUAACUCAAAAAUCUGUCUCCCAAGCUUCUCAGGAGUAGAGCUUUAUAUAGAGACUUGUCUUUGGUUUCAUACCCUGGCUCUCAUCUGUCCCUUCUAUAUGGAGAAGGCCUGAACCAAUGCGUGUUACCUGCAGAAGCAGAAGGCCGCCCUGAAUGAUGAAUAGAGAGGCCCUGAUGCAGAAGAUGGUGAACACUUCCAUUUAGGGCAACUCACUAUAAGCAAGAAAUGUCUUCGAGGGGUGCCAGGGUGGCUUAGUCCGCUAAGGGCCUGCCUUUGACUCAAGUCACGAUCCUGGAGUCUGGGGAUCAAGCCCCGCCUUGGGCUCCCUGCUCAGUGAGGAGGCUGCUUCUCCCUCUACUCCUCAUCCUGCUCAUGCUCACUGUCUCUCUCUCUCUCUCUGU
rnacentral:lncRNA from 1 species